AUGGAAUUUGUGCUUGGCUGGGUUUUCCUUGUUGCUCUUUUAAAAGGUGUCCUGUGUGAGGUGCAGCUGGUGGAGUCUGGGGGAGACUUGGUGAAGCCUGGGGGGUCUCUGAGACUCUCCUGUGCAGCUUCUGGAUUCACCAUCAGUAACAAUGAAAUGAACUGUGUCCGCCAGGCUCCAGGGAUGGGGCUGCAGUGGGUCGCAUAUAUUAACAGUGUUGGAAGCACAUACUCUGUGAAGGGCCGAUUCACCAUCUCCAGAGACAAUGGCAAGAACAUGAUGUAUCUGUAGAUGAACAGCCUGAGAGCCAAAGACACGGCCGUGUAUUAUU